GACGAACGCUGGCGGCGUGCUUAACACAUGCAAGUCGAACGGAAAGGCCCUGCUUUUGUGGGGUGCUCGAGUGGCGAACGGGUGAGUAACACGUGAGUAACCUGCCCUUGACUUUGGGAUAACUUCAGGAAACUGGGGCUAAUACCGGAUAGGAUCUCCUGCUGCAUGGUGGGGGUUGGAAAGUUUCGGCGGUUGGGGAUGGACUCGCGGCUUAUCAGCUUGUUGGUGGGGUAGUGGCUUACCAAGGCUUAGACGGGUAGCCGGCCUGAGAGGGUGACCGGCCACAUUGGGCCUAAGAUACGGCCCAGACUCCUACGGGAGGCAGCAGUGGAGAAUAUUGCACAAUGGGCGGAAGCCUGAUGCAGCGACGCCGCGUGCGGGAUGACGGCCUUCGGGUUGUAAACCGCUUUCGCCUGUGACGAAGCGUGAGUGACGGUAAUUGGUAAAGAAGCACCGGCUAACUACGUG
rnacentral:rRNA from 1 species